AGGAGAGAGGGAGUCCCUUUUUGGACUGGGAUAGCUUGAGGACAAGAUGUAGCUACUAGUGUCUCCUGGCUUCAAUGGCAGAUUUGUCAGGAUUCGCCUCUGGAGGAUUUAGAUUUAAUAAGGCUUGCAAGAUUAGGAUUUUAGCUGUUGCAUCCAGUGAUUGAGUUACUGUUGUUUCUGAACUAAGUUUGUGUGGUAUUUUCCUUCAUGUGGUGGCUCAUCUGGAUUCAAGAGAGAAAGGUAUAAAUGAGCUUCUCAUCUCAAAGGCACCUUCCCUACACUGGAAAAGUGGAUACCCUACCUUUAAGGACAAGAAGUCGUCAUGUGGGGUGUGGGGUUCCGCAAAGCCUUUGAUAAAAUAACUUACCUUUUAA